AUGCUUCUCCCACAUCAGCCCAACCUGACCCCUGCUCCUACCCCAGGUGGGAAACCCCCCUACACCAUCUCCGAGGUGCGGGGGCCAGAGCAGUGCCUGCUGGGCCAGGAGGUGACCCUGCGCUGCUGCAUGGAGGGGACCUUCCCCGAGGACACGGCCGUGACGUGGGAGCGGGUCCAGGGCGAGGACAGGACGGCCACCGAGCCGCACGGGGACACGGCCGACCCCGAGCGCCUGCCGCUGUUACGCGCCCUGCCCCCGGGCUGGACCGCGACGCAGGAGAGAAGCGCGACCGGCCUCACGGCCUCCCUGACCUUCACCGCCGCGGUGCAGGACGACGGGGCGCGCGUUCGGUGCUGCUUCCACCACGGGGCCAAGCGCAUCGGGGAGCAGCGGGAGUCCCGGGAGAUCCGGGUGUGGGCGCGGCCGGAGCUGUCCGGGAUCCAGGUGUGGCCGCGCUGGGACCCCCCGGACACGGUGCCGUUCGCCGUCCGCCUGCACAGCUUCUACCCCCGCGGGAUCCACCGCAUCGCGUGGAGCUGGGACGGGGACGGUGCCGGGAGAGAAGAGCCCCCCGACAUCAGCCCCAACCCGGACGGCACCUUCACGGCGACGAGCGUGUGGAGAGUGCCCAGCCGGAGCCUGACCGGCCCGGGGCUGCGAGUGCGAGUGUGUGUGCAGCACGGCCCCGCAGACCCCCCGCUGGAGACAGAGCUGCGCCUGGGGGACGCCGAUCUCCUGAAGCCCCCGGAGGUGUCAGACAUCCUCAAGUCAGUGCCUGCAGGGGGGCGAGUCACCCUGAGCUGCCGCAUCGCGGGGCAUUUCCCGGGGGAGCUGAGCGUGACCUGGCUGCAGAAGCGCUCCGCUGGAUCUGUGCCCACGUCCCUGCAGGACUCGGCUGAGCACAGCAUCGACCCUGGCACGGCCGUCCUGGCACCGGACGGGAAGAGCUUCCAGCAGGAGACCAGACUCAGCCUCAGACACUCCACAUCCCAUCGCGUGGACACUGAGUACAUCUGCCGGGUGGGACACGUCACCCUGCGGACCCCCGUCGAGAGAAGCAGCGGCUGCCGUCCAUGCCCUCCACGAAUGGGCGAGGUGUCCCGGCCGCAGCUCCUGGUGCCCGGGCAGGCGGUGACCCUGCGGUGCCUGGUAUCGGGGUUCUACCCCGGGCAGGUGGCGGUGACCUGGCUGCGCAAGGGAGCAGGAGAGCGGGAGCCCAGGCCCGUGGACGGCUCCGACACCCACAGCAUCCACACCCCCGCCCCCAGCCGGGCGCCGGACGGGAAGUCCUACAGCGUGGAGUCCGAGCUGCACUUCACCCCGUCGGGGCCCGAGGACGACGGGGUCGAGUACCAGUGCAGGGUGGAGCAUGAGACCCUACAGAAAACAACAUCCAAAUCCACUGGGCCCCUGCCGCUCCGAGUUCAGCCACAACUGUCCCACAUCCACGUGUUGCCUGAUGGGAAGGCCCCACAGAAAACGCUGUUUGCCGUCCGCAUCGAGAACUUCUACCCCCAGCACAUCCAGCAGAUCCAAUGGAAAGUUGAUGGAAAAGCCUGGGAAAGGUCCAAGCCUAGCGAGAUCAUCCCCAACCCGGACGGCACCUUCACGGCAACGAGCGUGUGGAGAGUGCCCAGCCGGAGCCUGACCGGCCCGGGGCUGCGAGUGCGAGUGUCCGUGAAGCACAAUCCUGGAGAUAUCCCAAUGGAGAGAGAGCUGUGCCUGGGGGAUGCCGGUCAGUCCGCCCCAACCACGCAGGUUGCAGCACACGAGCCCCCCGCACCCUGA